rnacentral:rRNA from 1 species
UACGUAGGGGGCUAGCGUUGUCCGGAAUCAUUGGGCGUAAAGCGCGUGUAGGCGGUCCGGUAAGUCCGCUGUGAAAGUCGGGGGCUCAACCCUCGGAUGCCGGUGGAUACUGUCGGGCUAGAGUGCGGGAGAGGCGAGUGGAAUUCCUGGUGUAGCGGUGAAAUGCGCAGAUAUCAGGAGGAACACCGGUGGCGAAGGCGGGUUUCUGGGCCGAUACUGACGCUGAGGAGCGAAAGCGUGGGGAGCAAACAGG